GGGAGGCAGCUUAGCCAUAAGUGAAACUUGACUUAGUUAAAGCUAAGAGGGCCGGUAAAACUCGUGCCAGCCACCGCGGUUAUACGAGAGACCCAAGUUGAUAGACACCGGCGUAAAGAGUGGUUAAGAUUUAUUCAACACUAAAGCCGAACGCCCUCAGAGCUGUUAUACGCACCCGAGGGUAAGAAGCCCAACCACGAAAGUGGCUUUAAACUAUCCGAAUCCACGAAAGCUAUGACACAAACUGGGAUUAGAUACCCCACUAUGCCUAGCCAUAAACAUCGAUAGUAAACUACACCUACUAUCCGCCCGGGGACUACGAGCAUCAGCUUGAAACCCAAAGGACUUGGCGGUGCUUUAGAUCCACCUAGAGGAGCCUGUUCUAGAACCGAUUACCCCCGUUCAACCUCACCUUUCCUUGUUUUAUCCCGCCUAUAUACCACCGUCGUCAGCUUACCCUGUGAAGGACUCAUAGUAAGCAAGAUUGGCACAGCCCAAAACGUCAGGUCGAGGUG
rnacentral:rRNA from 1 species